ACCGGCGCACGGGUGAGUAACACGUAUCCAACCUGCCGUCUACUCUUGGACAGCCUUCUGAAAGGAAGAUUAAUACAAGAUGGCAUCAUGAGUCCGCAUGUUCACAUGAUUAAAGGUAUUUCGGUCAUCGAUGGGGAUGCGUUCCAUUAGGUUGUUGGCGGGGUAACGGCCCACCAAGCCUUCGAUGGACAGGGGUUCUGAGAGGAAGGUCCCCCACAUUGGAACUGAGACACGGUCCAAACUCCUACGGGAGGCAGCAUG
rnacentral:rRNA from 1 species